AGGAAGUGCCUUGGUGGAUCAGAAAUUUCAGCAAAGCCUAGCUUGAGCUAUGCCUGGGGAUCAACAGCCUAUAACCAUGGCCUCAAGAUAAAAAUGAUUCUCUGACGAGGAGAGCACCAGAUGCCGGCAGGAAGGAUGUGUGCGCUCUGGCCAAAUCAAAUACCCGAGAAACACUUCAAACACGUGCCAUGCACUGCUUCAGGAAAUACUGCAGGGACGAGAAAUAUGAAAAAUAGAAAGUGAUACAUUUGUCAUUUGACAAUGGAAUACCAGCAGAGCAGAUUCAUUCUUAAACUUCAGCAAGAUGAUAAAUUUCAAUCUCUGUGAGUGAAGAAGGCUUUGCAACAGUCAUAUCUCUACCUCAAGCAACUGUUUUUAUGCCCGCCUUCAUCACAAGAACCAUGAAUAUGUCUUCAUUUCGCUCCUUCUUGACUCAUAAUAACAAAAAAGUCACGCUGUUUUAAGCUGUUUAUUAUUUAUGAUUUCAGCUUACGGGUUUUUUAUGGCUCAAG